rnacentral:rRNA from 1 species
CACGUAGUUAGCCGGGGCUUCUUAGUCAGGUACCGUCAUUUUCUUCCCUGCUGAUAGGGCUUUACAUACCGAAAUACUUCUUCACCCACGCGGCGUCGCUGCAUCAGGGUUUCCCCCAUUGUGCAAUAUUCCCCACUGUUGCCUCCCGUAGGAGUUUGGGCCGUGUCUCAGUCCCAAUGUGGCCGUACACCCUCUCAGGCCGGCUACUGAUCGUCGCCUUGGUAGGCCGUUACCCUGCCAACUAGCUAAUCAGACGCGGACCCAUCUCAUACCACCGGAGUUUUUCACACAAAACCAUGCGGUUUCGUGCGCUUAUGCGGUAUUAACAGCCGUUUCCAACUGUUAUCCCCCUGUAUGAGGCAGGUUAUCCACGCGUUACUCACCCGUCCGCCACUCAGUCAAAUGCUGCUUCCCUUUGAGCAAGCUCUCCAGUCCGCUGCAAGUGCUUCGUUCGACUUGCAUGUGUUAAGCACGCCGCCAGCGUUCAUCCUGAGCCAGGAUCAAA